rnacentral:lncRNA from 1 species
GUCUAAUGGCUCUCCUUUAAAUUUCUUUAUGGAACUUUAAAGUUUGUUAUCCAACACUAGCGUUGAAAUAUAAAUGAAAAAUAUACUCAAACAAGAAUAUUUGUCCAUUAAAGGGACAAUAGCUGCCAAACGUAUGCCCAUCUAAUUUAUUUUGAACUGUCAAAUUAAAUUGAAUAUAUGUUGAAACGUAAUUUACUACAGAACCUUAAAGAAUAAUACAUGAUGUUUGAUUCGUUAUAAAGUACCAGCAUUUCGUGAAUGUUGCUGACUAUUCCAUCUACCAUCAUCACCCAUAAAGACAGUCCAUUGGCAUAUGGCCCCAUUAUGACUAUAAAUAUAAACGAUUUACUCUGAAAUACACAUAGACAGGUAAGCACGUGCAAUAAUAUAACGUCAACGUUCACAUUAUAGUUGAUGUGCUUCCCUCGGUUUUGAGUUGUGCCCC